AGGAUUGACAAUGGGCGGAAGCCUGAUGCAGCGACGCCGCGUGAAGGAAGAAGUAUUUCGGUAUGUAAACUUCUAUCAGCGGGGAAGAAGAUGACGGUACCCGACUAAGAAGCCCCGGCUAACUACGUGCCAGCAGCCGCGGUAAUACGUAGGGGGCAAGCGUUAUCCGGAUUUACUGGGUGUAAAGGGAGCGUAGACGGCAGGGCAAGUCCGAUGUGAAAACCCGGGGCUCAACCGCGGGAUUGUAUUGGAAACUGCUCGGCUCGAGUACUGGAGGGGUAAGCGGAAUUCCUAGUGUAGCGGUGAAAUGCGUAGAUAUUAGGAGGAACACCGGCGGCGAAGGCGGCUUACUGGACAGUAACUGACGUUGAGGCUCGAAAGCGUGGGGAGCAAACAGGAUUAGAUACCCU
rnacentral:rRNA from 1 species